GAAUGUGAAGGUGAUCUGGCUGUGACAUCUGUCACCCCAUUGAUCACCAGGGUUGAUUCGGCUGGAUAGGUGGGUGUCCCCUUCCUCCCUCACCACUCCAUGUGCCUCCCUUCUGCAGCUGCAUGCUUGGUUGAAGAGGAUGACCUUCCUCGUAUAGAGGAGGACCGAUCUCCCAUCAAAGGUAUAUGGGUAGCUGCGCUCCCCUGCUAGAACCUCAAAACAAGCUCUCCCAAUUUGAAUUUUGUUCAGUAGAACUGCCAUAAACAUCCAUAUAUACAUACCAUGUACAAGAACAUGUAUAU
rnacentral:snRNA from 1 species